rnacentral:rRNA from 1 species
AGGGCACCACCAGGAGUGGAGCCUGCGGCUUAAUUUGACUCAACACGGGAAAACUCACCCGGCCCGGACACUGGAAGGAUUGACAGAUUGAGAGCUCUUUCUUGAUUCAGUGGGUGGUGGUGCAUGGCCGUUCUUAGUUGAUGGAGUGAUUUGUCUGGUUAAUUCCGAUAACGAACGAGACUCUAGCCUACUAAAUAGAUCGUCGGCUUACAAACGCCGGCGAGACUUCUUAGAGGGACAGGCGGUGAUUCAACCGCACGAAACAGAGCAAUAACAGGUCUGUGAUGCCCUUAGAUGUCCGGGGCCGCACGCGCGCUACACUGAAGUGAUCAGCGUGCUUUUUCAACCUACUCUGUCAAGAGUGGGGAACCCAAUGAACCUUCUUCGUGAUUGGGAUAGGGGAUUGUAAUUAUUCCCCUUGAACGAGGAAUUCCCAGUAAGCGCGAGUCAUAAGCUCGCGUUGAUUACGUCCCUGCCCUUUGUACACACCGCCCGUCGCUACUACCGAUUGAAUGUUUU